rnacentral:SRP_RNA from 1 species
CUGUGCUAGACGGGGAACUAGCGGUGCCCUGCACCCGCAAUCCGCUAUAGCGGGGUUGACAGCUUUCCGUGAGGUUCGCGUUGUUUGGAGGCUGCUGCGUGGUAGCGGCGUUGAUGGCUGGGUCUUGCGCGGCGAGAGGCCGUGAACCCCGUCAGGUCCGGAAGGAAGCAGCGGUAAGCGGUUACUUUCGGGUGCCGCAAGGAAGCUUGGCCGGAGCUAGCGCCACGUAAGCGCUUCAGGGAGCCGAAUCGAAGGAAAGGCACGG